GUUUAAAUAAACAUUGAAUUGGGUAGUUUGCAUGCCUCGUACGAUUUAUACUGUAUUGACCAUGCUCGUACCAGGCGCUUUGGUUUGUGUUCACGUCAUCGGCGGGAAGCGCCUAGGCCUGGGAGAAUUUAUACAAUCAUUCAAAAUGGCGGAUCUAGUACCAUUGAGUUCGCUCCAGAAAUCGACACAUUUAUCAUUUAUUGAUAAUGCUGCGGUAACAAUAACAAGAUUAAUGAUAAAAUUAAUACGCAGUAAGGUGAGGCUAGCAAUAUGCCCAGGGCCCAAACAAGGCAAUUGGCCUUCUUAAGAGCACGCAUUACAUUUAUAUAAGAAAAGAGAAAAACACGGACAAGAAAGAAAAAAAAGAAACAGAGCUAGAAAGAAAUUAUUUGCUGACAAUAAAAGUUUCAUUUUUUGAAUCAAAUUUGUGCAAAGAAAUAUUUUCAAAGACAUUUUAAUUUUCUGAGAUGCACCUGUAUAUGUGUACUAUUAUGUUAUGCACCUGUAUAUGUGCCCAUUAUUAAAGGCAGGCGUGAGCUGACAUUCAAAUGCGUGAGAGUCGCGCUGGUAUUUUCAAGAUUCUUGCCCUGCUCAGCCAACUGUCGAUUGAUUGAAAAACGUUUUUCAUUUAAAUUACAA